rnacentral:misc_RNA from 1 species
UUUUUUUUUUUUUUCAUUUAACAUGCUACACCUAUUGCUUAUCUUGAAAAAGCCUGCUGGUUGGGGAUUAAUAGAAUUAUUUUGCUUAUAAAAAAUCUAGGGUGAACAAUCUUCUACGUAGUAGAUCAUCCACGUCGAAAUUAGAAGAUUGGCAAAGGAAUUAUAUAAUUAAUCUAAAAUUCCCUGGAAAGAUAAAACCUCAUAUAGACUCAUAUUCAUACAAGGAAACAUUACAAAAAUGAUUUUCUAAAAAGUACUUUAUUACAACACUUAAGUAAGCUAAUACACAAUCCUGUCCUUGAUGCAAGAACAAGAACAAGAAAAUAAUUCUCAGUCUGGAGAAAAGAUAAGAAAAGAAAGAAAAAUUUAUGAAGAAAAACUCGUAGAUUAGAUGCACACAUGCGCCAAGCGCAGAGGAAAUGUCGUCAAAUUU